rnacentral:tRNA from 1 species
GCGCCCGUAGCUCAGGAGGAUAGAGCAGCGGUUUCCUAAACCGCGUGCCAGGGGUUCGAGUCCUCUCGGGCGCACCA